UACGUAGGGCGCAAGCGUUGUCCGGAAUUAUUGGGCGUAAAGAGCUCGUAGGCGGCCUGUCGCGUCCGCUGUGAAAUCCCGGGGCUUAACCCCGGGCGUGCAGUGGAUACGGGCUGGCUAGAGGCGAGGCAGGGGAGAACGGAAUUCCCGGUGUAGCGGUGAAAUGCGCAGAUAUCAGGAAGAACACCCGUGGCGAAGGCGGCUCUCUGGAACGCAACUGACGCUGAGACGCGAAAAGCGUGGGGAGCAAACAGG
rnacentral:rRNA from 1 species